UACGUAGGGGGCAAGCGUUGUCCGGAAUCAUUGGGCGUAAAGAGCGUGUAGGCGGUUCGGUAAGUCGGAUGUGAAAGCCCUCGGCUUAACCGAGGAAGUGCAUCCGAAACUGAGUAGCUAGAGUACGAAAGAGGGUCGCGGAAUUCCCGGUGUAGAGGUGAAAUUCGUAGAUAUCGGGAGGAACACCGGUGGCGAAGGCGGCGACCUGGGUCGAGACUGACGCUGAGGCGCGAAAGCGUGGGGAGCGAACAGG
rnacentral:rRNA from 1 species